GCUGGGUGCGCUGGUGCACACCUGUAAUUCCGGUGGCUCGGGAGGCAGAGGCAGGAGGAUCAUGAGUUCAAAGCCAACCUCAACAAAAGUGAGGCUCUAAGCAACUCAGUGAGCCCUGUCUCUA
rnacentral:sRNA from 1 species